UCAAAAUUUUUGUGUAAGCUUUCAUGCUGUUGUUAACAUUCACACUCGCCAUUGCUUUUUUUAACGUUGGGGAAGCAAUGGCAACGGUUCGCACUUUAACCGGCUAACAAAAAAAAACUCAGAAAUGGACAGGAUAUUCUAGUUGGUUGCUAUAGUAUUGCUUUGAGAUCGAUGGUACCGGUUCUGCUGGACGAGUAGCUUGCGUCGGAUCUACUGCAAUAUAUAUAUAUUAUGAAUAUAUAU